rnacentral:rRNA from 1 species
UACGUAGGGUGCGAGCGUUUAAUCGGAAUUACUGGGCGUAAAGCGUACGCAGGUGGCGAAGCAAGUCGGAUGUGAAAGCCCGGGGCUCAACCCCGGAUGUGCAUCCGAUACUGUUUUGCUGGAGUCCGGGAGAGGAGAGCGGAAUUCCGAGUGUAGAGGUGAAAUUCGUAGAUAUUCGGAAGAACACCAGUGGCGAAGGCGACUUACUGGACACAUAUUGACGCUGAGGUGCGAAAGCGUGGGGAGCAAACAGG